rnacentral:misc_RNA from 1 species
GAUGAAGAACGUAGCGAAAUGCGAUACGUAAUGUGAAUUGCAGAAUUCAGUGAAUCAUCGAAUCUUUGAACGCAUAUUGCGCUCUCUGGUAUUCCGGAGAGCAUGCUUGUUUGAGUAUCAGUAAACACCUCAACUUCCAUAUCUUUUUUUGAAAUGGGAGUUGGACUUGAGUGAUCCCAACGCUUUUCCUCACCGAAAAGUGGCGGGUUACUUGAAAUGCAGGUGCAGCUGGACUUUUCUCUGAGCUAUAAGCAUAUCCAUUUAAUCUGCCUAAAAAACAGAUUAUUACCUUUGCUGCAGCUAACAUAAAGGAGAUUAGUUCUUGUGCUGACUGAUGCAGGAUUCACAAAGACAGCUUCGGCCGACUUUGUAAACUCGAUCUCAAAUCAAGUAAGACUACCCGCUGAACUUAAGCAUAUCAAUAAGCGGAGGA